UACGUAGGGCGCAAGCGUUAUCCGGAAUUAUUGGGCGUAAAGAGCUCGUAGGCGGCUCGUUGCGUCGGCUGUGAAAACCCGCAGCUCAACUGUGGGCUUGCAGCUGAUACGGGCGGGCUGGGAUUCGGUAGGGGAGACUGGAAUUCCUGGUGUAGCGGUGAAAUGCGCAGAUAUCAGGAGGAACACCGGUGGCGAAGGCGGUUCUCUGGGCAUUACCUGACGCUGAGGAGCGAAAGUGUGGGGAGCGAACAGG
rnacentral:rRNA from 1 species